CAGCUGUCUUCUGGAUAGUAUGUAAUGUGUGUGCAUCUGUAUAUGUUUGCAGAGAACAAUCUAUUCAAUGGAGAGAAUGAGAUGCAAACAGAAGUUUAUUUGGGAUUCUGGACGAGUGGAGAGGAGGAAUUACUUGUAUGGCUUUGCCCAUUUGAGGAUUCAACAUCUUGGGAUUGCUUCUAACAGGAUGCUGCAGAUCAAGGGAAAUCCUCCAGGAGAGAGUUGUUGCCUGAGGCCCAUGAAGAAAAAGCACAAAAUCUUGUGAUAACAGAAAUAGGUCC